UCGUUUUUGUGUUAUUUGCUGGAAGUUACAUCCAAAGCCAGUGAUUGUCAAACAGAACGUACAUUAAUGGCAGCUUAUCACUCCACAAUGUUGAGCCGGCUUUCCAGGGCUGCUGCAUUACUUUCCGGCUCGCCACAGUU
rfam:Drosophila sechellia strain Rob3c scaffold_4 genomic scaffold, whole genome shotgun sequence.